GUGCUGAUUUCACUCAUAUCAGUGGUCCAGGCUCAAGGGAGUCCUAAAGCUGUGGUGUCCAUAAAGCCUGAUACACAUGUGUUCACUGGAGAGAUUGUUACUCUCAGAUGUGACAUACAGGGAGGAGGAGACACUCAGUCGACUUACAGCUGGAAGAAAAAUAAUAACAAACUUUAUUUAGAUGGAAAUAAGAGAAAUUAUAUAAACAACACGACACAGGAGUUCAUAAUUUGGUCUGCUGAAGACUCUGACAGUGGAACCUUCACCUGCAGAGGACAUGGGAGAGACUCUCAGAGCUCAGAGAUCAGUGAUGAUCUUACACUGACAGUAUCAGUAAAACUCAAUCCGACUGUGAGAGUGAAUCCUCAGAGCUCCGUCUACACUGGAGACACCGUCACUCUGAGCUGUGAGCUGCAGCAGGGGACUGGAUGGGAGUUUUACUGGUACAAAAAUAAUCAGUCAUUACAGAAUCUGAUCAGUGAACAAGGGAACACAUUUAAUGUGACAGUCGAUAAUGCAGGAGAAACAGAAUACAAGUGUCGAGCAUGCAGGAGAAAGUACUACAACUAUCACUAUGACUUCUACUACAACUACUACACAGAGCUCAGUGAUCCUGUUAAGAUUACAG